rnacentral:rRNA from 1 species
GAUGAACGCUGGCGGCGUGCCUAAUACAUGCAAGUCGAGCGAACGGACGAGAAGCUUGCUUCUCUGAUGUUAGCGGCGGACGGGUGAGUAACACGUGGAUAACCUACCUAUAAGACUGGGAUAACUUCGGGAAACCGGAGCUAAUACCGGAUAAUAUUUUGAACCGCAUGGUUCAAAAGUGAAAGACGGUCUUGCUGUCACUUAUAGAUGGAUCCGCGCUGCAUUAGCUAGUUGGUAAGGUAACGGCUUACCAAGGCAACGAUACAUAGCCGACCUGAGAGGGGGAACGGCAGCAUUAGGACAGAGACAGGGACCAAGAGACGACGGGAGGCAGCAGGAGGGAAUAUGAGGAAAUGGGCGAAAGUCUGAGCGAGCAAAGAAGAGUAAGUAAAGAAGGUUUUAGGAUCGUAAAACUCUGUUGGUAGAGAAAAACGUUAGUGAGAGUGGAAAGAUGAGCAAGUGAAGGAAACUAGCAAGAAAGGGACGGAUAACUAAGU